rnacentral:rRNA from 1 species
GACGAACGCUGGCGGCGUGCUUAACACAUGCAAGUCGAACGGAAAGGCCCUGCUUUUGUGGGGUGCUCGAGUGGCGAACGGGUGAGUAACACGUGAGUCACCUGCCCUUGACUUUGGGAUAACUUCAGGAAACUGGGGCUAAUACCGGCUAGGAGCUCCUGCUGCAUGGUGGGGGUUGGAAAGUUUCGGCGGUUGGGGAUGGACUCGCGGCUUAUCAGCUUGUUGGUGGGGUAGUGGCUUACCAAGGCUUUGACGGGUAGCCGGCCUGAGAGGGUGACCGGCCACAUUGGGACUGAGAUACGGCCCAGACUCCUACGGGAGGCAGCAGUGGGGAAUAUUGCACAAUGGGCGGAAGCCUGAUGCAGCAACGCCGCGUGCGGGAUGACGGCCUUCGGGUUGUAAACCGCUUUCGCCUGUGACGAGGCGUGAGUGACGGUAAUGGGUAAAGAAGCACCGGCUAACUACGUG